GGCGUCUCGAUUACUUGUUGCGUUAUUCUUCUUUAAAAUACAACAGGCUAACACCGCGACGUCUUUGCACUGUCAGUUUAUCCGUUAAGCGAAAGAAAGUGAAAGCCAGCUAUAGAUGAAAGCAAACGACGUGGUGGUGAGUUUGACAUUCACGCACGGAUGGGAGGAAACAAGCCGAGAGAUGCUGAACAAUCUGCCAACCCAGUUAGACGCAGUAAAGGAAGCUGAUUGGUCGCCAUGGGCAACUGUGCUAUCCGGGAUUGUCAUGCUACCACAUCUGCGCCGAAGCAGCAAAGACUACGGGGCAAAUUGUUUGAAAAUGUAUGAUUUUAUAAGCGACCAAAAAUGUCACGAAACUGAUCAUAUGCUGGAGUUGCGGUAUAUUGUUCCGAUUUCUGUAUACGUACAUUAAAAUUCAAAGAGCACAAUACAAUUUCGGUUGUUGAUUCUGUA